rnacentral:rRNA from 1 species
AGAGCGAACGCUGGCGGCAUGCUUAACACAUGCAAGUCGCACGGGCAUUUCGGUGUCAGUGGCGGACGGGUGAGUAACGCGUAGGUAUCUAUCCUUGGGUGGGGGAUAACGGUUGGAAACGACUGCUAAUACCGCAUGAUAACUGAGGUUUAAAGGCGCAAGUCGCCUGGGGAGGAGCCUGCGUACGAUUAGCUUGUUGGUGGGGUAAAGGCCUACCAAGGCGACGAUCGUUAGCUGGUCUGAGAGGAUGAUCAGCCACAUUGGGACUGAGACACGGCCCAAACUCCUACGGGAGGCAGCAGUGGGAAUAUUGGACAAUGGGCGAAAGCCUGAUCCAGCAAUGCCGCGUGUGUGAAGAAGGUCUUCGGAUUGUAAAGCACUUUCGACAGGGACGAUGAUGACGGUACCUGUAGAAGAAGCCCCGGCUAACUUCGUGCCAGCAGCCGC